UACGGGGGGGGCAAGCGUUGUUCGGAAUUACUGGGCGUAAAGGGCUCGUAGGCGGCCAACUAAGUCCGACGUGAAAUCCCCAGGCUUAACCUGGGAACUGCGUCGGAUACUGGUUGGCUUGAAUCCGGGAGAGGGAUGCGGAAUUCCAGGUGUAGCGGUGAAAUGCGUAGAUAUUGGGAGGAACACCAGUGGCGAAGGCGGCUCACUGGACCGGUUCUGACGCUGAGGCGCGAAAGCGUGGGGAGCAAACGGG
rnacentral:rRNA from 1 species